GUAGGGGGCUAGCGUUGUCCGGAUUUAUUGGGCGUAAAGAGCGUGUAGGCGGCCUGACAGGUCUGCUGUGAAAACUCGAGGCUCAACCUCGAGAUGUCGGCGGAAACCGUCUGGCUAGAGUCCGGAAGAGGAGAGUGGAAUUCCUGGUGUAGCGGUGAAAUGCGCAGAUAUCAGGAAGAACACCUAUGGCGAAGGCAGCUCUCUGGGACGGUACUGACGCUGAGACGCGAAAGCGUGGGGAGCGAACAGGAUUAGAUACCCUGGUAGUCCACGCCGUAAACGAUGGGUGCUAGGUGUGGGCGGUGUCGACUCCGUCCGUGCCGAAGCUAACGCAUUAAGCACCCCGCCUGGGGAGUACGGCCGCAAGGCUAAA
rnacentral:rRNA from 1 species